rnacentral:rRNA from 1 species
UACGUAGGGUGCAAGCGUUAAUCGGAAUUACUGGGCGUAAAGCGUGCGCAGGCGGUGAUGUAAGACAGAUGUGAAAUCCCCGGGCUCAACCUGGGAACUGCAUCUGUGACUGCAUAGCUAGAGUACGGUAGAGGGGGAUGGAAUUCCGCGUGUAGCAGUGAAAUGCGUAGAUAUGCGGAGGAACACCGAUGGCGAAGGCAAUCCCCCUGGA